rnacentral:rRNA from 1 species
ACGCACGCUGGCGGCGUGCCUAAUACAUGCAAGUCGAGCGGACGAAUCGAAAGCUUGCUUUUGAUUCGUUAGCGGCGGACGGGUGAGUAACACGUGGGCAACCUGCCCUGUAGACGGGGAUAACACCGAGAAAUCGGUGCUAAUACCGGAUAACACGAAAUGUCGCAUGACGUUUCGUUGAAAGACGGCGCAAGCUGUCGCUACAGGAUGGGCCCGCGGCGCAUUAGCUAGUUGGUGAGGUAACGGCUCACCAAGGCGACGAUGCGUAGCCGACCUGAGAGGGUGAUCGGCCACACUGGGACUGAGACACGGCCCAGACUCCUACGGGAGGCAGCAGUAGGGAAUCUUCCGCAAUGGACGAAAGUCUGACGGAGCAACGCCGCGUGAGCGAAGAAGGCCUUCGGGUCGUAAAGCUCUGUUGUUAGGGAAGAACAAGUAACGCAGUAACUGGCGUUACCGUGACGGUACCUAACGAGAAAGCCACGGCUAACUACGUG